rnacentral:lncRNA from 1 species
AACAAAGAAUAUCAAAGUGCCUGGGCCAAAUCCUUUGUAUGGUUUUUCUGUCUUCAUAUGGGACGAAUGACAAUUCAUGGUGCUCCUUUUCCCCUUUGUUUCUCCCUCCAGUACCACCACUAUGAUUUGGCUACACUAUCUCUUAUUAUAUAAUUUUAAUACUAGAUCGUGACUUUGCGUCAUUUAUAUUUUUUUUUCUCCAGAAUUUAGAAAAUUCUUCUAAUGUUCUUCCACUUUUCACUUUUGAUGUUUCUAGUGCAGAAAAGGUAUAUAAAGCAAAAAGGGUAACUUUUUUCCGUUGUAUUUUUGUGAAAUGGUACCUAAGUUUAAUUUGAACUAGGUAGCAUUUGUCUGCACAUUAACCUCGUAGAAUAAAGUUCAUCUCUUCGUGAAAAGGGUGGCUGAACCAGAAUGGUGGCAGUGUACAUUCCAACAUAUAUAGGUCAAUAUUUUGCUAAACGAGAACUAUAUUAUUAAUUAGCGCUUAGUUCUCUUGUUUCUGUCUCGG